UGGGGAAUAUUGGACAAUGGGGGGAACCCUGAUCCAGCAAUGCCGCGUGUGUGAAGAAGGCCUGAGGGUUGUAAAGCACUUUCAGUGGGGAGGAGGAUUGAUUGGUUAAGAGCUGAUUAAUUGGACGUUACCCACAGAAGAAGCACCGGCUAACUCCGUGCCAGCAGCCGCGGUAAUACGGAGGGUGCGAGCGUUAAUCGGAAUUACUGGGCGUAAAGGGUGCGUAGGUGGUUAGAUAAGUUAUCUGUAAAAGCCCUGGGCUUAACCUGGGAAGGCCAGAUAAAACUGUUUGACUGGAGUAUGGGAGAGGGUAGUGGAAUUUCCGGUGUAGCGGUGAAAUGCGUAGAGAUCGGAAGGAACACCAGUGGCGAAGGCGGCUACCUGGCCUGAUACUGACACUGAAGCACGAAAGCGUGGGGAGCAAACAGG
rnacentral:rRNA from 1 species